UAUACCCCAUGGUCCUUUUGGAGUCCCCAGCAUCCCCUACGGACUAAGAGAAAAGGAUUUACCGGUAGGUAUUAAAAUCCUAUUUUUUUCUGUGUGAUCCAUUUCUGUUCCUUAUACAUAGGCUCACCAAUACUAUUCCUUUAAUCCGGGCCGCUCAGGGAUUACACAGGUUCUGUGGCUGAUUACCACCAGGUGACAUACAGGCAUGAAGUCAGCCAGCCACAGACCCUGUGUAAUUCAUACGUGCCCCAGUGUAAAGGGAUUGCAUGGCAAGCUUACUUCUAACCAAUGUCCCUCAGGCUCUGUCCUUGGGCCCCAUCCUGUAGAGCCGGCGGUGUGCCCCGGCUGCUGCCUCGUUACAUGGACCGGAGAGCCUGAGUGCGGGGUAGGUGCCGCUGUAGUCUGACUCAUGUGUGUUGCCCUCAGAUGUUCCUGUCUGUCACACGUCUGGUCCUGAGGAUGAAGAAGGAAAGCCAGGCCAGGCUGCGGCCGAGCGAGGUGGUCACCAUCAGCAAGACCAAGAAGAAGCCGCACGUGAAGCGCUGCUGCUGAGGCCCGGCCUGGAGAAGCGGACUGCGGUGUGAGAGCGGCGUGAUUGUGUGUUCUUCCAUCGUACAGCGCGGGGGGAAUGCUGUAUAUACAAUGUAUGGGACUGAAUUCAGGCUGCAGCGAGGCCUGGUGUAGUGUUAUGUACAGUAUAGCGGUAACACAGGGACCACUGGAAACCGGGGGAGGGGGGGGUGUAUGUCCAUAGAGGGGUGGGCUGCAGUGACGUUACACAGAGGACGGCGGUAUGCAGAUGGUGAUAGUCCUGUCUCUACAAGCGGGCUGUAGUGACAGGCUUGUGCAUGGACAGUACAGGAAUAGUAGUGCAGUGUGUAUGUGCACGGCACAGUUGUUUAUGUGGGGGCUGCACUGGAAUAGGGAGGACAGCGUGUAUGGGGGCUGUACAGGAAUAGCAGGGCAAGUAUGUAUGUGUGCAUUGUACAGAAAUAGCAGAGCUCUGUGUGUGUGGGGGGGCAGUACAGGAAUAGCAGAGGGGUGUAUGGGCAAUACAAGAAUAGCAGAGGUGCGGGGGCAUGUACAGGAGCAGUAGAGCGGGUGUAUGCAUGUACAGGAACAGCAGAGCGCGUGUAUGCAUGUACAGGAACAGCAGAGCGGGUGUAUGCAUGUACAGGAACAGCAGAGUGGGUGUAUGCAUGUACAGGAACAGCAGAGCGGGUGUAUGCAUGUACAGGAACAGCAGAGCGGGUGUAUACAUGUACAGGAACAGCAGAGCGGGUGUAUGCAUGUACAGGAAUAGCAGAGGAGCGUGUAUGCAUGUACAGGAACAGCAGGGGGGUGUAUGCAUGUACAGGAACAGCAGAGUGGGUGUAUGCAUGUACAGGAACAGCAGAGCGGGUGUAUGCAUGUACAGGAACAGCAGAGCUGUGUAUUUAUGUGUGUGUGGGCGCCAGUACAGAAUAGCAGAGGGGUGUAUGGGUAAUACUAGAAUAGCAGAGGUGCGGGGACAUGUACAGGAGCAGUAGAGCUGUGUGGGUGGGUCUGUACAGGAAUAUUAGUGCUGUCUGUGUGUGGGGGGGGGGGGGGGGGGAGUACAGGAAUAGCAGAGGAGCGUGUAUGCAUGUACAGGAACAGCAGAGCGGGUGUAUGUUUGUGCUGUACACAUUUAGGUGAUAACUCCCCUCUGUCCUUAUUGUUUGAUGCAGAAUAGAACUCUGUAGCCUCGUUAAUUAUCCACAUGUAUAGGAUCUUUUAUUGACCGCCAUCUUUAACCCAGCCCAGUGCUUCACACUGACCAAUCAGACCCCCGCUUCCCUGAUAGUAUCUAUAUAUUUAUAUAUAUGUAACAUCUCCCCCUGUAUGGGGAUAUAAAGCUUAUUUUUGCAUCUAACUGAAUAAUAGACAAUAAAGAGACAUUUUGUAUGGAAGAA